rnacentral:rRNA from 1 species
AAGUCGUAACAAGGUUUCCGUAGGUGAACCUGCGGAAGGAUCAUUAUUGAAUGAAUGUAGAGUCGGUUGUCGCUGGUCCCUUCGGGGGCAUGUGCACGCCUUCUCUUUCAUCCACACACACCUGUGCACUCGUGAGACGGAAGCCCUCGGGCGUCCGUCUGCUCUACAUAAACUCAUAUCUAUAAUUCGAAUGUAAUUGAUGUAACACAUCUUUAAACUAAGUUUCAACAACGGAUCUCUUGGCUCUCGCAUCGAUGAAGAACGCAGCGAAAUGCGAUAAGUAAUGUGAAUUGCAGAAUUCAGUGAAUCAUCGAAUCUUUGAACGCACCUUGCGCUCCUUGGUAUUCCUUGGAGCAUGCCUGUUUGAGUAUCAUGAAAUUAUCAAAAUAAUUCUUUUGUUCAUUCGAUUGAAUUUAUUUUGGACUUGGAGGUCUGCAGAUUCACGUCUGCUCCUCUUAAAUAAAUUAGCUGGAUCUCAGUGAGCUCGGUUCCACUCGGCGUGAUAAGUAUCACUCGCUGAGGACACUGUAAAAGGUGGCCGGGAUUGCGGAUGAACCGCUUCUAAUCGUCUAUUCACUUAGACAACAAUACUUUAUGAUCUGAUCUCAAAUCAGGUAGGACUACCCGCUGAACUUAAGCA